rnacentral:rRNA from 1 species
GAUGAACGCUGGCGGCGUGCCUAAUACAUGCAAGUCGAGCGAACGGACGAGAAGCUUGCUUCUCUGAUGUUAGCGGCGGACGGGUGAGUAACACGUGGAUAACCUACCUAUAAGACUGGGAUAACUUCGGGAAACCGGAGCUAAUACCGGAUAAUAUUUUGAACCGCAUGGUUCAAAAGUGAAAGACGGUCUUGCUGUCACUUAUAGAUGGAUCCGCGCUGCAUUAGCUAGUUGGUAAGGUAACGGCUUACCAAGGCAACGAUGCAUAGCCGACCUGAGAGGGUGGUCGGCCACACUGGAACUGAGACACGGUCCAGACUCCUACGGGAGGCAGCAGUAGGGAAUCUUCCGCAAUGGGCGAAAGCCUGACGGAGCAAGGCCGCGUGAGUGAUGAAGGUGUUCGGAUCGUAAAACUCUGUUAUUAGGGAAGAACAGAUGUGUAAGUAACUGUGCACAUCUUGACGGUAACUAAUCAGAAAGCCACGGCUAACUACGUG